AUUGAACGCUGGCGGCAGGCCUAACACAUGCAAGUCGAGCGGAUGAAGGGAGCUUGCUCCUGGAUUCCGCGGCGGACGGGUGAGUAAUGCCUAGGAAUCUGCCUGGUAGUGGGGGAUAACGUCAGGAAACGGGCGCUAAUACCGCAUACGUCCUGAGGGUGAACGUGGGGGAUCUUCGGACCUCACGCUAUCAGAUGAGCCUAGGUCGGAUUAGCUAGUUGGUGGGGUAAAGGCCUACCAAGGCGACGAUCCGUAACUGGUCUGAGAGGAUGAUCAGUCACACUGGAACUGAGACACGGUCCAGACUCCUACGGGAGGCAGCAGUGGGGAAUAUUGGACAAUGGGCGAAAGCCUGAUCCAGCCAUGCCGCGUGUGUGAAGAAGGUCUUCGGAUUGUAAAGCACUUUAAGUUGGGAGGAAGGGCAGUAAGUUAAUACCUUGCUGUUUUGACGUUACCAACAGAAUAAGCACCGGCUAACUUCGUG
rnacentral:rRNA from 1 species